CCAGGCACUGCAUUAUACCCAUACAUCAGGUUGGAGCUUCUACCAAACAUACACAGCAAACAUACAAAGCAAGCUCUCUCAAUGUGUUGGUGGUACAACUGAGUUCCAUAACUGUUUUGACAUACCCAGGCCACAUUAAAGAUGACAGUUCUUCACACAGUACUGUCUGUCUCAUAUUAAACCUUAAAAGGCCCUGUUAUGUAGUACUACUGUCCUCACCACUGCUGCUCCAUUGCUCACAAUUUCAAAUAAAGCAUCUAGGGCAGCUCAUAAGGAGAAGCAAAAACUGAAAGGGGUUGCAUGCAACAUCAGACCAGAGUGACAGAAUUGUUGGAGUUGGAAGGGACCUCUGCAGAUCACCUAAACCAAUGCUCUAUUAAAGCAGGCUCCUUACAAUAAGUUACACAGGAAAGUGUCCAGGCAGGUUUUGAGUAUCUCCAGAGAAGGAGACUCCACAACUUUUCUGGGCAGACUGCUCGUGCUCUGUUACCCUCAAAAUAAAGAAGUUUUUCCUCAUGUUCAUAAAGAACCCUUCGUGUUUCAGUUAUGUGCCCACUGCCCCUUGUUCUGUCACUGGGCGCUGUUAAAAAGAGCCCAGCCGCACCCACUUGGUUCCUGCCCUGAAGAUAUUUAUAUGCCUGGAAAGCCCAGAAGCUAAGGAGAGGUUCAUGCUGGAGGUUCUCACGAAGAGCGGAGGCGCUGGCACGGGCUGCCCGGGGAGGUGCUUGGAGUCACCGUCUGGGGGGGGCGUUCAAGAAACGAGUAGAUGUGCCACUACAGGACAUGGUGGUGAUGGGUUCACAGUUGGACUAGGUGACCUCGUAAGUCUUUUCCAAGCGUAAUGAUUGUAUGAUAGUAUUCUGUGGUUCCGUACAGGUGCUGCUGUCGCACUGGGGCUGCUCACGACGCGCAGCACUAGCAGUAGGAUACCAUUUGGCUUUACUGUUAUGCACCCUCCAAAAAACCCACACACUGUGCCGACCCCUCACAGACUGCCACCCCGCUGC
ensembl:lncRNA